rnacentral:sRNA from 1 species
AGCGUAGGCUCUUCGGAGCCCUUUCCCCUAAGCCCAAACAGGAAGGUUUGGGCUUUUUUUUGGCCGAG